rnacentral:rRNA from 1 species
AACGAACGCUGGCGGCAGGCUUAACACAUGCAAGUCGAACGCAUCCUUCGGGGUGAGUGGCAGACGGGUGAGUAACGCGUGGGAACGUGCCCUUCAGUUCGGGAUAACCGAGGGAAACUUGGGAUAAUACCGGAUACGUGCGAGAGCAGAAAGAUUUAUCGCUGAAGGAUCGGCCCGCGUCUGAUUAGCUAGUUGGUGGGGUAAUGGCCCACCAAGGCGACGAUCAGUAGCUGGUCUGAGAGGAUGAUCAGCCACAUUGGGACUGAGACACGGCCCAAACUCCUACGGGAGGCAGCAGUGGGGAAUAUUGGACAAUGGGCGCAAGCCUGAUCCAGCCAUGCCGCGUGAGUGAUGAAGGCCUUAGGGUUGUAAAGCUCUUUCGUCCGGGACGAUAAUGACGGUACCGGAAGAAGAAGCCCCGGCUAACUUCGUGCCAGCCGCCGCUGUAAGAC